UACGUAGGGCGCAAGCGUUGUCCGGAAUUAUUGGGCGUAAAGGGCUCGUAGGCGGUCUGUUGCGUCAGGAGUGAAAACUCGGGGCUUAACCCCGAGCCUGCUUCUGAUACGGGCAGACUAGAGGUAUGCAGGGGAGAACGGAAUUCCUGGUGUAGCGGUGAAAUGCGCAGAUAUCAGGAGGAACACCGGUGGCGAAGGCGGUUCUCUGGGCAUUACCUGACGCUGAGGAGCGAAAGUGUGGGGAGCGAACAGG
rnacentral:rRNA from 1 species